ACCUGGUUGAUUCUGCCAGUAGUCAUAUGCUUGUCUCAAAGAUUAAGCCAUGCAUGUCUAAGUAUACGCAAAUUAUACUGUGAAACUGCGAAUGGCUCAUUAAAUCAGUUAUAGUUUAUUUGAUGUUUCUUGCUACAUGGAUAACUGUGGUAAUUCUAGAGCUAAUACAUGCGUAAAAAGCCCCGACUUCGGAAGGGGUGUAUUUAUUAGAUAAAAACCAUCCUCCUCGGAGUUUGGCGAUUCAUAAUAACUUCUCGAAUCGCACGGCCUUGUGCUGGCGAUGCUUCAUUCAAAUAUCUGCCCUAUCAACUGUCGAUGGUAGGAUAGAGGCCUACCAUGGUUGCAACGGGUAACGGGGAAUAAGGGUUCGAUUCCGGAGAGGGAGCCUGAGAAACGGCUACCACAUCCAAGGAAGGCAGCAGGCGCGCAAAUUACCCAAUCCCGACACGGGGAGGUAGUGACAAUAAAUAACAAUGCAGGGCCCUUUUGGGUCUUGUAAUUGGAAUGAGUACAAUUUAAAUCCCUUAACGAGGAACGAUUGGAGGGCAAGUCUGGUGCCAGCAGCCGCGGUAAUUCCAGCUCCAAUAGCAUAUAUUAAAGUUCCCUCCGGGGCCUAAGUAAUUAUUUUUGUCAGUUUUAUUCACUUAGGAGGACUAAGGUCCAGAAGCGUUCACUUUAUCUUAAAUCUAACAAUGCAGAAACUUUUCCAUUCCUUUUUAGGAGUCCUUGAAGCGGUCCGGGGGGCUUAGUACGGGGUAAAACCCAGAAGCCAAAGGAGAAAAACUGUCUUUUAUAAAUCACGGGGGAAUUCUUUAGCUUGAGCCUUAACCCCUCAAGUUUCAUAAUGCCUCCAAAAAUUGCCAAUGCGACACAAGUCGCUUCUGAAGGAACUCCAGCGGAGACAACCUCGGACAGACCGGUUUCCAAGCCAGAGAGCCCGAUCAAAGCUGGGAGCCCUUCAAAUGUAAGAGGGAAUAAGAGAAAGCUGAGUGGGUUGGGAAACCCCCAGCUUAAGAAAGGCAAGAACCAGUUGAUGCCGGAUUCAGAUUCAUCUACUUCCAGCUCCUCUGACUCUGAUGUCCCCCAAAUAAUUGAGCCUUCUAAAGAUAUAGAUCAGCUCUCAAAAUCGGCGAGCAGUCUGGAGGUGAGGGAUGCAGCAAUGGAGCCAGCGCCAGCUAGCUCCACAGCCUCCCCUUCAGCUGAAACCUCGUCAGCAACUAGCAAGUCGCACGGUGCCCUCCCCCCGAAGGAUCCUUUUCCGGAGGUACUGGACUGGGCUGCCAAGGUGGAGAUUGCAGAGGCUAAAAAGGCCCACAACGAAGCCUGGAAAACCGAGUGCAAAGACAAGGUGGCACAGAAGAAGCAGGCCAAGCUUGCCCAACUCGAUGCGGAUAGAUUGGCUGGAAAGCCUCCACUGCGUGGGUGUGUCCAGUGCAAAACCCAUCAUUGGGAACAGGACCCUUGCCCGCCAAAGCCUAUGGCCUCCCCUGAAAAGGAGGCCUCCAAAAUCAAGUCCUCAGGUGUUGGCAAACGCAAGCACACUGGGGCAGAAAUUGAGAAUUCAGGAGGGCCCUCUAAAAAGGGUAAGAGUUGACGCAGGGCAUGCGUGCGGCGGGGCUGGUACCCAUCCGUGCAUCCAACCAAAGUGGAGCCUCCACUUUGGAGUGGUUGAUCCGCUUUGGAUCUUCUUCGGAUGCUGAGGAAGCCGUGGACAAGCCUUUCCACCUGCGGGGGGUUGAGGUUCGCCUCACCCCCUUUUUUAAGGAGGGGCUGCGGACCUUCAUCUGCAAGACCUUGGGGCCUGUUUCAAUGGCAGCUCUGAUAAAGAGCAUCCACAAAUAUGCCCCCAAAGCUAAAUUUGGACUUCGAAGGGAAGAGGCCUUCGGUUGCAUGGGUGACAAAUGUCUUCUAACAUUUGGACAGCCACAGAACUUCAACCGCAUCUCCCUUGUCUUUAACACAGCACUAUGGGUUGCAAUUGUUUAGUUCCUGUACCGAGCCCUUCUGGCUCUGAAAACUUUUACAAUAACUUGAUUGCGUAAAUAUCAUUUGAAGAUGUCUAAGUCCAUACUCAUUGCAUCUGUGAAUGUCAGGUCUGUGUUGAGUGAAGUCCGUUUCCGUGAAGUUCUACAUUUUUUCUGGAUGUCAAAAAUUGACAUCCUCUGUAUACAGGAAGCCCGCCUUUCUAGAGAUUGAGCAGAACGUCUUAAUGCUACAUUCCCCGGCAUGCGACUGCUCACUAACCCGAACAAUACUGAUGGCAAUGGAGGAGUGGCAAUAAUGGUAAAUCCCGAAACAGUAGAUUUGCCUACUGCCACUUCCCCCUCUGUGUUAGGAAAUUUUUCUUCUGAACUAUACCUUUAUGAUGCUGAGGGCCGUCUCCUUGUUACAAAUCUAAGUUGCAAAAAUCAACAACUAAAUGUCGCUUGUGUUUAUGUCCCGGCUAAUAGUACCCUUUGGGCCCUCUGGCUGGAAAAUACAACAAAUUUCCUAGUCUCAUUGGAAAGUCGAAUCUGGUGUGACCUUGUUGCAGGAGACUGGAACACUGUCAUUAACACUAUGGAUCACACUUCUCGAUGUCGACCUAACCUGCAAGAGAGACAUAG